rnacentral:ncRNA from 1 species
CGUGACCAGCACGGGAGUCCAGUGAGCUGGGCUGAGAGGGAGUAAUCAAACUUCGACCGUAGAACCUGAUCUGGGUCAUUCCAGCGAAGGAAGCGAAUUGAGAUGUGCG